rnacentral:rRNA from 1 species
AUUGAACGCUGGCGGCAGGCCUAACACAUGCAAGUCGAACGGUAACAGGAAGCAGCUUGCUGCUUUGCUGACGAGUGGCGGACGGGUGAGUAAUGUCUGGGAAACUGCAUGAUGGAGGGGGAUAACUACUGGAAACGGUAGCUAAUACCGCAUAACGUAGCAAGACCAAAGAGGGGGACCUUCGGGCCUCUUGCCAUCGGAUGUGCCCAGAUGGGAUUAGCUAGUAGGUGGGGUAACGGCUCACCUAGGCGACGAUCCCUAGCUGGUCUGAGAGGAUGACCAGCCACACUGGAACUGAGACACGGUCCAGACUCCUACGGGAGGCAGCAGUGGGGAAUAUUGCACAAUGGGCGCAAGCCUGAUGCAGCCAUGCCGCGUGUGUGAAGAAGGCCUUCGGGUUGUAAAGUACUUUCAGCGGGGAGGAAGGGAGUAAAGUUAAUACCUUUGCUCAUUGACGUUACCCGCAGAAGAAGCACCGGCUAACUCCGUG